rnacentral:rRNA from 1 species
AGUGAACGCUGGCGGUAGGCCUAACACAUGCAAGUCGAACGGCAACACAGUAAGAGCUUGCUCUUACGGGUGGCGAGUCGCGGACGGGUCAGGAAUACAUCGGAAUCUACUUUUUCGUGGGGCAUAACGUAGCGAAACUUACGCUAAUAUCGCAUACCCCCUACCGGUGAAAGCAGUGGAUCUUCGGACCUUUCGCGGUUGAAUUCGCCGCUUUCGGAUUAGCUAGUUGGCGGGGUAAAUGCCCACCAAGGCGGCGAUCCGUUGCUGGACUGAGAGAAUGAUAGGCGACACUGGAAGUGAGACAGGGUCAAGAGGACUACGGGAGGCAGCAGUGGGGAAUAUUGGGCAAUGGGCGCAAGCAUGAUACAGCCAGACCGAGUGGGUGAAGAAGGCGUUCGGGGUGUAAAGACCGUUUGUGGGGAAAGAAAAGCAGCAGGUUGAGACCACGCUGGAGUGACGGUAACGAAAGAAGAAGCACCGGCUAACUACGUG